UACGGGGGGAGCAAGCGUUGUUCGGAUUUACUGGGCGUAAAGGGCGCGUAGGCGGCCACUGCAAGUCGGUUGUGAAAUCUCCGGGCUUAACCCGGAAAGGUCAGCCGAUACUGCAGGGCUAGAGUGCAGAAGGGGCAACUGGAAUUCUCGGUGUAGCGGUGAAAUGCGUAGAUAUCAAGAGGAACACCUGAGGUGAAGACGGGUUGCUGGGCUGAUACUGACGCUGAAGCGCGAAAGCUAGGGUAGCAAACGGG
rnacentral:rRNA from 1 species